rnacentral:rRNA from 1 species
ACUGCUCAGUAACACGUGGAUAACCUACCCUGAAGCGGGGCAUAAUCUCGGAAAACUGAGGAUAAUACCCCAUAAGUCUUCGAUACUGGAAUGUUCCUAGGCUGAAAGCUACGGCGCUUCAGGAUGGGUCUGCGGCCUAUCAGGUUGUAGUGAGUGUAAUGGACUCACUAGCCGACGACGGGUACGGGCUGUGGGAGCAGUUGCCCGGAGAUGGACUCUGAGACACGAGUCCAGGCCCUACGGGGCGCAGCAGGCGCGAAAACUUCACAAUGCGCGGAAGCGCGAUGAGGGGAUUCCAAGUGCAUGCACUCUGUGUAUGCUGUUUACUAGUCUAAAAAGCUAGUAGAGUAAGGGCUGGGUAAGACUGGUGCCAGCCGCCGCGGUAAUACCAGCGGCCCUAGUGGUGAUCGUUAUUAUUGGGCCUAAAGCGUCCGUAGCCGGUUUGGUCAGUCCUCCGGGAAAUCUGUCAGCUCAACUGAUAGGCUUUCGGGGGAUACUGCCAGACUUGGAACCGGGAGAGGUAAGAGGUACUACAGGGGUAGGAGUGAAAUCUUGUAAUCCCUGUGGGACCACCUGUGGCGAAGGCGUCUUACCAGAACGGGUUCGACGGUGAGGGACGAAAGCUGGGGGCACGAACCGGAUUAGAUACCCGGGUAGUCCCAGCCGUAAACGAUGCUCGCUAGGUGUCAUGCAUGGUGCGACCGUGUAUGGUGCCGUAGGGAAGCCGUGAAGCGAGCCACCUGGGAAGUACGGCCGCAAGGCUGAAACUUAAAGGAAUUGGCGGGGGAGCAC